AGUUUAACCAAGUUUAAACCGGUGAAACUGCAGAUGGCUCAUUAAAUCAGUCAUCAUUUAUUUGAUAGUCAUGUCCAUUUGAAAAAUUAAUGGUCUAAUUGGAUAACUGUAGUAAUUCUAGAGCUAAUACAUGCUUUUAAGUCUUAACUUUUAUAUUUAUUCUUCGGAAUGAAGAUAAAGGAAGAGAUGUAUUUAUUAGAUUUUUUUAUAAAAAAGAGAACCAAAACAAUCAACUUUUUUGGUGAUUCAUAAUAACUGUUCGGAUCGCAAAAACAUUUUCUUUUCUUCGGAAGAGGAGAAAGCGACAAAUCAUUCAAAUUUCUGCCCUAUCAGCUGUGGAUUGUAGUGUAGUGGACUACAAUGGCGAUAACGAGUAACGGAGAAUUCGGGGUUUGAUUCCGGAGAGGGAGCCUGAGAGAUGGCUACCACUUCCAAGGAAGGCAGCAGGCGCGCAAAUUACCCAAUCCUGAUACAGGGAGGUAGUGACAAGAAAUAACAAUAGCGGGACUUUUUUAAUGGUUCUGCUAAUUGGAAUGAGUACAAUUUAAAUCCUUUAACAAGGAACAACU
rnacentral:rRNA from 1 species